UUAUUGGGGUGUUAGCUCUACAACUUUUAAAUCAUUGUACAGUUUGAUUACAAUUUUAGGAACAUCUAGUGUAUUUUUAUGAAUGAAUACAUUUGAAUUUUUUAUUUUAAUACUUAAAUGUUCAAUUAUGAUAUAAAUGGCGGGAAUUUACUGAUGAGUUUGCCGUGUAUGGUGACUACCCCUAAAUUAUCGUGUCGAUUCGUCCGUCGCCGCAUAAACGCUUUGAACUCUUAGCGGGUGCCAAGUAAUUAGUGCCUGUAUGAGAUGAAAGCGGUUUGGAGACCCAAUCAUACAGCAGUUAAUUUUCAACAAAUUUUCAAAAUAUCUGCUUGUUUUAUAUACUAGUAGACAUUUAGUGAAGUUUAUUCUCGUGCAUGAUGUCCUUUAUGCAGUAGAUCUAUGUGGCGGGCAGUUUGUUGCGUGUUUAUAAUGCUGCAAAAUUAAAUAUAAGAAGAGAUGAUUAUGAGACACACUGACCAUAGUGUUUGCAGAAGCGGUUAGUCCAUCUCAGCCGUGGUGGAGUAUUCGUCGCAGAAGCUGUGGAUAAAAUAUGGCCGUUUGCUGUUGUCAAUCUACCUAUCAUUUUUACCAGUCGGGCAUAAGCAUGAAGAUAAGAUACCUCCUUAAACAAAAAACUUCACUUGUUGGAUUGUGAGACAAGGCCAGAUCUUUAAAAGUUAUUGAAGGAUGCACAAAUGAUAGAUGCAAUGGCCAACUAAAAAGAAUGGAUGAACAAAAUUUAUCAUUUGAGGCUUCUCUACCGGACAUUUUGCUUGGGUUAGGGCUUUGGGCCUUAUAUUUAGCGUAUGUAGGGAAGACCUACAACAAUAAUAGUAAUACAAAAACAAAUCUGCAACAGAAACACACAAAUGUUGUUAAAACUAUUUAAUAGAGAAAAUAGUUCUUUUUAAGAAAAUGUGUACAUUUUAUACAAAGAAAGAACUAAUGGAAGGACUAAAAAUGAACAUGCCACAUGCAUAUCUCCCAGGUGUUUUGCUUGGGUUAGGGCUUAAAUUAAUCUUACAUUGCUGUAAAAAAGACCUACCAAACUAUUGCAAUAACAAAUCUGGACUCAGACAAAUAGUGUUUAAAUGAUUGGCUGGAGAAAAUGGUGCUUUUUACAAAAAAUUAUACAUUAUAAACAUGUACAGAGCUCAACAAGUAAACCUGACUUAGCACUACAAAUUUGUAAAAAGUUAUUUGAAUAUUGUUUUCACAAAGGCAGACUUGGGAAAAAGUAAGCGACACCUGCCCUGAUUUAAAGCGGAUUCUCUUUUUGGCAGAUUUUAGAUUGUUGAUAUUUCAAGAAUAGAAAAACGGAAACAAACAGUGAGUUAUUUAUUAUCUGGAAAUGAAGAUGCAGUGGUAUUUUGGAGAAAAAAAUAUCAAAUGAAUUAUAUGUUGUUAAUUAAAGAGAAAAAAUUGCUUGAUAAGAUCUUGCAAGGUUG